AUCCCUGGCUCAGGACGAACGCUGGCGGCGUGCCUAAUACAUGCAAGUCGAGCGGAUUUAUCCUUCGGGAUAAGUUAGCGGCGGACGGGUGAGUAACACGUAGGUAACCUGCCUAUAAGAUCGGGAUAACUAUCGGAAACGAUAGCUAAGACCGGAUAAUUGGUUUUCUCGCAUGAGAGAAUUAUGAAACACGGAGCAAUCUGUGGCUUAUAGAUGGGCCUGCGGCGCAUUAGCUAGUUGGUAGGGUAACGGCCCACCAAGGCGACGAUGCGUAGCCGACCUGAGAGGGUGAACGGCCACACUGGGACUGAGACACGGCCCAGACUCCUACGGGAGGCAGCAGUAGGGAAUCUUCCGCAAUGGACGCAAGUCUGACGGAGCAACGCCGCGUGAGUGAUGAAGGUUUUCGGAUCGUAAAGCUCUGUUGCCCUAGACGAACAGCAAGAGGAGUAACUGCCUUUUGUGUGACGGUAUAGGAGAAGAAAGCCC
rnacentral:rRNA from 1 species